UGGGGAAUAUUGGACAAUGGGGGCAACCCUGAUCCAGCAAUGCCGCGUGUGUGAAGAAGGUCUUCGGAUUGUAAAGCACUUUCGACGGGGACGAUGAUGACGGUACCCGUAGAAGAAGCCCCGGCUAACUUCGUGCCAGCAGCCGCGGUAAUACGAAGGGGGCUAGCGUUGCUCGGAAUGACUGGGCGUAAAGGGCGUGUAGGCGGUUUACACAGUCAGAUGUGAAAUCCCCGGGCUUAACCUGGGAGCUGCAUUUGAUACGUGUAGACUAGAGUGUGAGAGGGGGUUGUGGAAUUCCCAGUGUAGAGGUGAAAUUCGUAGAUAUUGGGAAGAACACCGGUGGCGAAGGCGGCAACCUGGCUCAUGACUGACGCUGAGGCGCGAAAGCGUGGGGAGCAAACAGGAUUAGAUACCCUGGUAGUCCACGCUGUAAACGAUGUGUGCUAGAUGUUGGGUAACUUUGUUAU
rnacentral:rRNA from 1 species